GGGCAGGUGGUGAAAUGGCAGACACACCAGCUUUAGGAGCUGGCGCCGCAAGGCAUGGGAGUUCAAGUCUCCCCCUGCCCA
rfam:Candidatus Zambryskibacteria bacterium RIFCSPLOWO2_12_FTLL_39_16 rifcsplowo2_12_scaffold_1010, whole genome shotgun sequence.